UAAUGCAAAGCAGAAGGAGCAAUUUUACUGGUAUAUAUACACAUAUAUACAUGCACAUCGGUAAAAUUGCUCCUGCUACUUUGCAUUA